CCAGCAGUAAAUGCCUCGUUCCUCGUUCACGCGAGUCGGCAUUGCACAGCAGGCAGAGGCACCAUG
rnacentral:snoRNA from 1 species